UAUAGGGUCCCCCCCCCAAUGUCCCUAUAGGGUCCCUCAAUGUCCCCCUCGCCCCCCCAGGCCGCCAUCCAGCGCAGCGUGGAGCAGCGGGAGCAGCGCAGGAGGGACAUCGCAGCGGGGACAACGGGGACAACAGUGGGGACAAAGGGGACAAAGGGGACAACAGUGGGGACAACGGGGACAAAGGGGACAAAAGGGACAAUGGGGACAACGGGGAUGCGGACUGCGCUCGAUCGCUUCAAGAAAUAGGGACAGGGUGGCCCCCGGGGGGGGACACAUUGCCAUGGACCUUGGGGACACUUCUAUGGGGUCCUUGGGGUCUUGGGACCAGCCCUGGUGGGGACAGGAUGCCACCGUGGCCCUUGGGGACACCUCUGUGGGGUCCUUGGGGUCUUGGGGCCAGCCCUGUAGGGGACAGGAUGCCACUGUGGCCCUUGGGGACACAUCUAUGGGGUCCUCGGGGUCUUGGGGACACCACUGUGGCCCUUGGGGACAUCUCUGUGGGGUCUUCAGG
rnacentral:lncRNA from 1 species